CACGUAGGGGGCGAGCGUUGUCCGGAUUUAUUGGGCGUAAAGAGCUCGUAGGCGGCUCGGUAAGUCAGGUGUGAAACCUCCAGGCUCAACCUGGAGACGCCACCUGAUACUGCCGUGGCUAGAGUCCGGUAGAGGAGCGUAGAAUUCCUGGUGUAGAGGUGAAAUGCGCAGAUAUCAGGAGGAAUACCAGCGGCGAAGGCGGCGCUCUGGGCCGGUACUGACGCUGAGGCGCGAAAGCGUGGGGAGCGAACAGG
rnacentral:rRNA from 1 species